rnacentral:rRNA from 1 species
AUGAACGCUGGCGGCGUGCCUAAUACAUGCAAGUCGAGCGAACAGAUAAGGAGCUUGCUCCUUUGACGUUAGCGGCGGACGGGUGAGUAACACGUGGGUAACCUACCUAUAAGACUGGAAUAACUCCGGGAAACCGGGGCUAAUGCCGGAUAACAUUUAGAACCGCAUGGUUCUAAAGUGAAAGAUGGUUUUGCUAUCACUUAUAGAUGGACCCGCGCCGUAUUAGCUAGCUGGUAAGGUAACGGCUUACCAAGGCAACGAUACGUAGCCGACCUGAGAGGGUGAUCGGCCACACUGGAACUGAGACACGGUCCAGACUCCUACGGGAGGCAGCAGUAGGGAAUCUUCGGCAAUGGGCGAAAGCCUGACGGAGCAACGCCGCGUGAGUGAUGAAGUUCUUCUGAUCGUAAAACUCUGUUAUUAGGGAAGAACAAAUGUGUAAGUAGCUGUGCACGUCUUGACGGUACCUAAUCAGAAGGCCGCGGCUAACUACGUG